rnacentral:rRNA from 1 species
GCACGACCGCGCUUUUCGGAUAGCGGCAGUGGCGGACGGGUGAGUAGCACAUGGGUGACCUGCCUUCCAGUGAGGAAUACCGGCGAGAAAUCGCCGACAAUACCGCAUACGCUCGCCGUCUUCGUGGACGGUGAGCAAAGCUCCACCACGCGUGGGGCGCUGGAAGAGGGGCCCGUGGCCGAUUAGCUGGUUGGGGAGGUAAGAGCUUCCCAAGGCGACGAUCGGUAGCUGGUCUGAGAGGACGAUCAGCCACACUGGGAUUGAGAACGGCCCAUACUCCUACGGGGGGCAGCAGUGAGGAAUUUUCGUCAAUGGGGGCAACCCCGAACGAGCAACGCCGCGUGCAGGAGGACGCUUUUCGGAGUGUAAACUGCUUUUCUUGGGGACGAGUAAGGACGGUACCCAAGGAACAAGCCCCGGCUAACUACGUGCCAGCAGCCGCGGUAAU